rnacentral:rRNA from 1 species
UACGUAGGGUGCAAGCGUUGUCCGGAAUUAUUGGGCGUAAAGAGCUCGUAGGCGGUUUGUCGCGUCUGCUGUGAAAACCCGAGGCUCAACCUCGGGCCUGCAGUGGGUACGGGCAGACUAGAGUGCGGUAGGGGAGAUUGGAAUUCCUGGUGUAGCGGUGGAAUGCGCAGAUAUCAGGGGGAACACCGAUGGCGAAGGCAGAUCUCUGGGCCGUAACUGACGCUGAGGAGCGAAAGCAUGGGUAGCGAACAGG